rnacentral:rRNA from 1 species
UACGAAGGGGGCUAGCGUUGCUCGGAAUCACUGGGCGUAAAGGGCGCGUAGGCGGCCAAGUAAGUUGGGGGUGAAAGCCCGUGGCUCAACCACGGAAUUGCCUUCGAUACUGCUUGGCUUGAGACCGGAAGAGGUGAGUGGAACUGCGAGUGUAGAGGUGAAAUUCAUAGAUAUUCGCAAGAACACCAGUGGCGAAGGCGGCUCACUGGCCCGGUACUGACGCUGAGGUGCGAAAGCGUGGGGAGCAAGCAGG